rnacentral:tRNA from 1 species
UAGGGGAACCUGCGGCUGGAUCACCUCCUUUCUAAGGAUGGUUCUUCAGAAGCUUGCUUCUAUCGAACCGUUUUAGAAACAUCAGUGGCCAACAGAUCGCCAGAUCGUUGAGCUGCAUUGGCGGGAUUUCGCCGUCUUCGUUUCUCUUUCUUCGCGGACGAACACGCGCUGGGCCUGCAUCGAGCAGGAUCCCACGGUCCCUGACGGGAUAUGCGUUAGGGGCUUGUAGCUCAGUUGGUUAGAGCGCGCGCUUGAUAAGCGUGAGGUCGGAAGUUCAAGUCUUCCCAGGCCCACCACUUUCAGUGAGCAUUCGUCUUCUGGUUACGGGGCCAUAGCUCAGCUGGGAGAGCGCGUGCUUUGCAAGCAUGAGGUCGUCGGUUCGAUCCCGUCUGGCUCCACCAGAUGGUUUGAUCACCGAGAUCUUGUACCGUCGUCCGCGAAACAUCACUUCGCAUCCUGCUAGUCUGGAUAGACAGCAAGAUGCGUGUUUUCUGACAUCGUAAAGAGGAGAUCGAUCCGAGUUGGGUCGUGCAGCAGAUUGUUGCGCGGAUCCUUCAUUAUCUCCGGAUCAUUUUCGGCGCUCGCCUUCAGCCGUGAGGUUGAAUGCGAGUUGUAAAAUGAUCCUUUUAGCGAAGCUUGACCGCCUCGCUAUCGGAACGAUCUUACGAAGCAAGCUAGUCUUUCUAGUCAAUGUCCGGCUGCAGAUAGCGUUCAUCGAGGGCGCGUGCCUUAGAGACUUCGGUUUCUCGGCAAUUCUGCAGACAACAUUCUGCCGAGUGUGUGGACAUUGAUAAUGAGAGCA